AGCCUAAGCACUGUUCGUAGAAUAUGGAGAAGAGCAAAUCACCAAAUUGCACGAGGGGUGAAAGUUGAUGUCUCGAACCAAAAGAAAGGUAAUGUUGGCCGUAAGCCGAAAGAUCUGGACCUGUUGAGGAUGGCGACAAUCCCACUAAAUAGGCGGAGGACAUUUCAAAGUCUAUCAAGGUCCUUGGGUGUAAGUUGCACGACCUUACACGUAAGGUUUGUGUUGGGUGAGUUGAGGUGCAACACUAAAAAACAGAGGCCCACGAUAAAGCCAGCCAACCAGAUACAAAGAUUGAGAUUUUGCAUUUCUAUGGCUGAUGAUAAUUGGCUGAGAACUCCCUGGCCUCCUUUCCGGGAAUUAGAUGUCAUAGUCUACAUGGAUGAGAAAUGGUUUAAUCUGACACAUGAGGUGAAUGGCUACUUGCUGCUUCCUGAAGAACAUGAUCUCUUGCACACCUUGCAUCAUAAGGAUAGCAUCGCGAAGGUGAUGUUUCUCGCGGCCGUUGCUAAACCAAGAUAUGGCAAAGAUGGUGUCGUCACGUUUGAUGGAAAGAUAGGCAUUUGA
rnacentral:rRNA from 1 species